rnacentral:tRNA from 1 species
GCGGAUGUGGCGAAACUGGCAGACGCGCUAGACUUAGGAUCUAGUGUCAUUGACGUGGGGGUUCAAGUCCUCUCAUCCGCACCA